CCCGAUAGUUUAAUUGUCGCUUGCCCUAAAACCCUAAACCCUAUCAGACCAUCAAAAUUGGAUUGAUUUAGAUUGGAUAUUUUUUACAUUUUCCAUCAGAUCCCCGAUCCCGCGAUAUUGCCAAUGGCUUCAAGAUGCAGCAGAUUCAUGAACAAAGCUUCAAUUGCAAAUCUCAAAUCCGCUUUCAAGACGGCUUCCAUGCCCAAAUCUGCCCCUUCCUCUCCAAAAUUUCCUCUUCCAACCAGGUCUACCACCUCACCGGUUCCUCGCUUCUCAGCGUCAAGGUGUCCAUCAGAACUCGGAGGUGUUCAGUCUCUGUUACCUCUACAUAAUGCAGUCGCUGCAGCAAGAUUGACAUCCUGCCUGAGCACAACUUCAAGGAGUUGCAGAUCUCUUUCACAGGGUACACUCUGCCGUACCUCUCCUGGCCUCUAAUAUGUUUUUUGUUAUUUGACUGCACAUGAGUUUCUCAUUGCAUAAAGAUAUACAAGAUCUGUCAUCAUAUCAAAUGCAUUUGAUGGAUCGUGAUUGAAUUUGCUGUGUGUAGAGAUGAAUUUGAUGGAACGUGAUAGAUUAUGCUGUUUCUAGAGAGCUGGGUUUAUCUGUUCCAAGGUGACAUGUUAGCAGACAUUUGGACUGAGAAAACAAGAAGACAGGUUCUGUAAUUCAUCCUCAUUGUUCUGUAAUUCAUAAAAAGAUGCUUCAAACUUUACAAAAUAGCACAAACAAAUUCAAUUUGAGUUAUGAUUUUGAGAAAAGUUAUUCGCUACUUUCAAUUA